rnacentral:snoRNA from 1 species
CUGCAUGUGGACAUACCUGCCCCACCUUGCUUUGGGGGUAGAAAUGCAUCCAUUACAUGCUACAUUGAUAAAGGAGUUCUCAGGGCUGCCAACCUUACAGUAGGGGUUGAGUGGUAGUAUAUUUCUCCUACAUAA